CGUUGAAAUACCCUUUUCCGUACGAUCACUGAAGUUAAGCAAAACCGAUCCUGGUCAAUUCCUAGAUGGGUGACCACUUGGGAAUACCAGGUGUCGUAAG